rnacentral:misc_RNA from 1 species
UACGUAGGGGGCGAGCGUUAUUCGGAUUUAUUGGGCGUAAAGCGUUACGUCGGCGGAUAGGUAAGUGAUAGGUCUAAGACUGCGGCUCAACCGGAGAGCGGCUUAUCAUACUGCUUAUCUUGAGAAUGUUAGGGGAAACUGGAACUUUCGGUGGAGGGGUGAAAUCCGUAGAUACCGAAAGGAACGCCAAGGGUGAAGACAGGUUUCUGGGACAUUUCUGACGCUCAUGUACGACAGCUUGGGGAGCAAAGCGG